AAAUUAUAAAAAUUCUAAUUUGAUAUUUAUAUUUGACACCAAGUCAAUAUUGUGAGCGUUAAGUGGAACGAAUCAUUAAGCGCUAGUAUAAUUCUUUCUGAGUUUGUUCGAUUUCUAUCCGGCGUUCACAUUAGGUUAUGUAACAACGCAACGCGCGAUAUUAGUAAAACGUGACUUGAUGUGAUCAGCGAUAUAAUCCAAGAACAGAUUCAAAGGAACAAUUGCAAUUUUCUGCUCUCUGCUGCCUGCUCCGUCUUUUUUAUCUUCUGUCUUCUUUGUUCAAAGCAUUUCUGAUGCAAGAAAUUAGGACCUCCCUCAAUGAGAUCAUGCAAAUUCAUAAGGCUGCCAUUGGCGCUUUAAUGGCAAAACACGAGGUCAACUGAAUAGCAUUUAUAUAUCGUGGCUUGGUUGUAUUGAACAAUAUUGUAUUGGACAAUUUGCACCGAUUACAAUCAGAAGAGAUCAAAAUAGAAAUUAAACAGAACGACGCUAACAGAGUAUCAACUAGC